rnacentral:rRNA from 1 species
AAUUUUGGACAAUGGGCGCAAGCCUGAUCCAGCCAUGCCGCAUGAGUGAAGAAGGCCUUCGGGUUGUAAAGCACUUCCGGACGGAAAGAAAUCGCGCAGGCUAAUACCCACCGCGGAUGACGGCACCGCCAUAAGAAGCACCGGCUAACUACGUGCUAGCAGCCGCGGUAAUACGUAGGGUGGGAGCGUUAAUCGGAAUUACUGAGCGUAAAGCGUGCGCAGGCGGGUGAUUAAGACAGGCGUGAAAUCCCCGGGCUUAACCUGGGAACUGCGCUUGUGACUGGUCAGCUAGAGUACGGCAGAGGGGGGUGGAAUUCCACGUGUAACAGUGAAAUGCGUAGAGAUGUGGAGGAACACCGAUGGCGAAGGCAGCCCCCUGGGCCGGUACUGACGCUCAUGCACGAAAGCGUGGGUAGCAAACAGG